CCGGGAGGUGCACUUGAUACGGGCGGACUGGAAUCCGAGAGAGGAUGGUGGAAUUCCCAGUGUAGAGGUGAAAUGUCGUAGAGAUUGGGAAGAACACCGAUGGCGAAGGCAGCCAUCUGGCUCGGUAAUGACGCUGAGGCGCGAAAGCGUGGGGAGCAAACAGGAUUAGACACCCUGGUAGUCCACGCCGUAAACGAUGUGUGGUAGCCGUCGGGCAGCUUGCUGUUCGGUGGCGCCAGCUAACGCAUUAAGCUACACCGCCUGGGGAGUACGGCCGCAAGGUUAAAACUCAAAUGAAUUGACG
rnacentral:rRNA from 1 species